UUAUUAUCAAAAAAAACGCUUGUGUUGUGCCAUGGCUUAUAUGGUGAUGACGUUUGAGAUUGUAAAUUUACGGGCCACAGAUGUGUCUAUGGUAAGGCCGACCUGACGAGAUAGCUGCCUACUGAGGUUUGAUUGGAUAUGGACAUUGUUUAUUUCAGAAGGAAAAUGUUUGGAGUGGAAUUGUUUGGAAGACAAUCUUGGGACAAUUUUGCUCUUUGGGUCUUUGUGCCAACCAUGCCAGCUAUCGUAGGGUGCUCUGGGAACAUCUUAGAUCUGUUUACUGUAUGUACACUUACUGAAAUAAGCAUUUUGUUUACAUAAAAUCCCUUGUCAUUUCACCACUAGGUUUGAAACCCAGACAGCACGAAGCAUCUUGCCGACGUCAAAAUCAGAUCAACAGACAGGGACAUCAGCCUUCUCUUGGGAAUAGGCCAGAUAUGCCAUAACAAGAAAUGGUGUUUUGCCCCUGCGGUUGUGAAGAGGAUGCUGUGGAGGUGGCAGCAUGAACGUGUCACACAGACAUUGGCUAAACUACUCGGCUUCUACACUUGCCCUCAGAGUUCACAUAUGGUGACGUGCACAGGUGUCCAGUCAGGUUCAGACUGAUGCUGGUAACAAGAGGAGAACAUGCUAAUUGAUGCUGUGUUGCUGCCAGUCCACGGAUGUACACGAAUGGCUCACCUGGAGGAGGAGGGCGGUCAACGACAUUACUCAAGUAUUGACAACAAAUGUGCUCUACGAAAUAUGAUGGAUCACAGACCCGACUCAGAACUGAACUCAUUUCAGCUGGCGGCUAACUGGUCUCAUAGGAGUCCAUGUUAACUGCUAGCUCGGAGGUAAAAUUUGCACUGCCGUUCUCAGAGAACGGUUGAAAGUACAGGAGAAAGGUAAAAGUCAGUUAUUUAACUCAAGGGGAUGUGUAAUAUGAGCUUAUUUCCAAAAAUGGGACAGUAUCACUUUUAAAUGGUCAAUGGCAAGGUCCCAAGAUGUUCUGUCACUGUAAUCAGAGACAUUUGAAGCCAAAUUGAUAAAGGAUACCGUUUUUUCUCAUUAAUACUAUUACUCCGAGGCUGUACGUUGUUCCAAAAUCCAGAAAAAGUUUUUGAAGUGCUUGUUUGUGUGUUUGUUUUUCAUGAUUCCAUAUUUUUUUCCUCAGAGCUGAGUCAUUCCAUAUUUUUUUUCCCUAUGCAUGCUCUAAAAAAGUAACUCUUACUUACUAAUGGAAUUACUUUUCAUGAUUUCUUUUGGUGUUUCUUAAGGCCAGACAGUUGCCCUUUGAAAUGAGUUCAGUUCUGAGUCAGGUCUGUGAUCCAUCAUAUUUCUAAAAAAUAAAAAUGACUGAAUGAACAUCCUCCACGACAGGUGAUUCCAUACUUUUUGCCAGGGGCGGUAAAAACCUAACUUGCUCAGCCUCUGAGGCACAUAAAAACAUGAAAUUAGUUGCAUUUAAAAGCCAAGACCAUCAUCUUGCAUGAGAAUGGACAGGAGUCUGCAUAUUGGAAUGCACCCAUGUCACUUUAGGCGCCUUGGACAAUGCAUCGUGUAUGCAGCAUCAGGCUAAAAUGGGUUAAUAACACACACACACGCACGCACGCACUCUCCUCUAAUCUUCUCUCUUUGCCAAACUUUAGAUGACAUUUCCAGCAUGUCCAACUCAUCAGCAUCAGGGGAGAUUCGGUGGAGGUGGUGCACCAUCCAGGACCAGUCAUGGGCCACCAAAACCUCUGCAAAAUCUACACUUCUUGUGAACCCUGUAGAAGACACUACAACCACAAAACUGCUAAUAAACCAUCACAUACUGCGUCACAUCAUGGUUCUCCAUGUGUUACUGCACCCUCGGCACAAGUUCUUUGCUAGAUUGCCAUCUGGCAGAUGCAUCAGGACAGGAAUGUAGCUACUAUUUGUGAUUAUAUCUUCCCACACUCUUACUUGCUUUGCAUGGCAGUGUGUCUCAAUGUGUGUCAGAAUUUCUGGUAAAUUAGAAUGCCCAUAACAUCAAAGUGGCACUGGAUUACUCAACCAUUUGUCUCUUAAAAGAUAGUUUCUGCCAAUUUCAAUAUGCUGUUGUAUAGCUCAUGCUACCCUUGACUUGUCAGUAGGCUACCCGGUGAUGAUGGCAUUCUUUUGACUCAGCUCUUUCUGAGAUCUGAGCUAUUCUAAUGGGGGCAGACUUUGAUUGUAUUAAAAACCUUCUUAACAUAGGCCUAAUCCAAAUACCAUCCCAAAAGGUAUCACUGUCUGUUUGCUAGUUGUCUGCUGAUGUUGCAUAACCUUUUGAAUGUUAUUGGGAAUAAAUGAAGAUGUUUUUUUGAAAUGUAAACAAACGCCUGCCCCCAUUACAAUGACAUGGGUAUGUGGAAGAGCUGUCCCUUACUCAUGCACCUGUUUAACAAAAUGUUAUUUUUAUUCAAGUAGGGGUAUGCAGUGUAUAAGUUUUUUUGUUUGUUUUUGUUGUUGUUGUUUUUUUAAAAAAAAAAUAUAUAAAUGGCACAUUACUUAAUACUAAUAUACUAAUAUAAAAUACUGUAAGUUAUUUCAGCUGAUUUAAACUGGCAUCUGGGAAUUCCAAAAUAAAGGUGAAAUAAAACACUGGUGUCCCUGCAAGCUUCUACUUAGUUGCAUUUUUAACGUUGUUAUGUUAUAGAGAAUAUAAUUAUUAUAUAAUUGUAGGUAAAAACGAAAAGCAAGUUAAUGUAAUCCAGUCACUUGCUCAGUCUGUCACAGUAGCAAUAUUCAGUCAAUGAGUGCAUUCCCUCGUAUUUUGGCGUUUUGCGUGGUAUCUGUGGGGAUCAAGGCGAUAACCCGGACAGCCUCUAAAACAUGGAUCGUUCAUUUCAGCCAAUCAGGUGACAAGAGCGACAGAUAAGGCAGAAGC